UUUAGGGAGACCUACCCAACUCAGAUAUCGAAAAAAAGUUUAGAGAUAGUGAGAUGGUCAAACCUAGGUCGGUCGAGAUUGGUUGAGACUUUCAAAGUAUUAUUUGGUUCGCUUAUUAUUUGGUUACGCCGAGUCAGCAAUCUUGUUACUUGUAGCAAGACUGCUGGAUUGAAGACCAGCCAGAACCUUGAAAACUGCAUAGUGACGCGAAACAAAAGCAGGCAGCCACAGACAUGAGAAUGGAAGUGGAUGCAGUGGAAGAAACCAAUGAAAAGU
rnacentral:misc_RNA from 1 species